rnacentral:rRNA from 1 species
UGGUCUGUAACUGACGCUGAGGCGCGAAAGCGUGGGGAGCGAACAGGAUUAGAUACCCUGGUAGUCCACGCCGUAAACGAUGAGUGCUAAGUGUUAGAGGGUUUCCGCCCUUUAGUGCUGCAGCAAACGCAUUAAGCACUCCGCCUGGGGAGUACGGUCGCAAGACUGAAACUCAAAGGAAUUGACGGGGGCCCGCACAAGCGGUGGAGCAUGUGGUUUAAUUCGAAGCAACGCGAAGAACCUUACCAGGUCUUGACAUCCUCUGACAACCCUAGAGAUAGGGCUUCCCCUUCGGGGGCAGAGUGACAGGUGGUGCAUGGUUGUCGUCAGCUCGUGUCGUGAGAUGUUGGGUUAAGUCCCGCAACGAGCGCAACCCUUGAUCUUAGUUGCCAGCAUUCAGUUGGGCACUCUAAGGUGACUGCCGGUGACAAACCGGAGGAAGGUGGGGAUGACGUCAAAUCAUCAUGCCCCUUAUGACCUGGGCUACACACGUGCUACAAUGGGCAGAACAAAGGGCAGCGAAGCCGCGAGGCUAAGCCAAUCCCACAAAUCUG